rnacentral:lncRNA from 10 species
AAACCACGGUGAGAUGCCACCGCACACCCAUUGGGAUGGCUACCAUCAAAACACAACAGAAAAUUACAAGUGUCUGCAAGGAAGUGGAGAAGCCGGAGCCCUUGUGCACUGCUGACGGGAAUGUGAAUGGUGCAGUCGCUGUAGGAAAUGGUCGGUGAAUGGAGACACAGAAUGUUCCACAAAAUGGAAUAUUACUCAGCCUUAAAAAGGAAGGAAGUUCUGAGACAUGCUACAACACAAAGGAACCAGGAGGACAUCAUGCUGCGUGAACGAAGCUGGUCCCAAGAGGACAAAU